rnacentral:rRNA from 1 species
GACAGAGGGUGCAAACGUUGUUCGGAAUUACUGGGCGUAAAGCGUGUGUAGGCGGCUUGGCAAGUCGGAUGUGAAAGCCCCGGGCUCAACCCGGGAAGUGCACUCGAUACUGCCGAGCUUGAGUAUCGGAGAGGUGGGUGGAAUUCUCGGUGUAGAGGUGAAAUUCGUAGAUAUCGAGAGGAACACCGGCGGCGAAGGCGGCCCACUGGACGAAUACUGACGCUGAGACACGAAAGCGUGGGGAGCAAACAGG